rnacentral:misc_RNA from 1 species
CUAAUAAGGUAUGAAAUAAAUCUUAUACAACCCUAGGACAAAACACUUAAAACCUUCAAGAGAUUCACACCAUUAAAAAUAUGAAAUUUUCAAUUGUGACAAUAUUGAUACUAUGGAUAGUAUCUUUGAUAUCAAUUCUCGAAGCCAAAAUUGCAUCAACCCGCUUUGUAGAUCAAACAAAAGUAAAUAUUAUUAUAGAUGAUCUCAUUUACGAUCGACAGAUCGUUGGAGAAACCAUUUGAUGACAAUGGUGCUAUUGAUAUCGAAGAAGUAAGGAAUGAUAUUUUCAGUCCAACAGGUCUUGUUAGCCAAUUGGGUCAAAACUUUGUUCAAUGGUUCUCGUCAUCCCUAUUUCUGACUUUUCUCAUACCCUUCAAUUUGGCUGGAAAUAAGAGAAAACUAUCGAGAACAAAGCGGAGUAGAGGGAAUGGUGAGACUCUUCCUUGGUAUUUCUCCAUGAAACGGAUGAGUGCACUAAUGAGAGCCAUUGCAGAUGUUGCAGAUAAUUAUAAUAGGUACAAAGAUGAAUUAUGAGUGGAAACUAUUUAUCUCUCUUUAAUAAUCUAUCAUUUAAAUACUUUUAAUUUAUGUAUCCUGAAUAUUCAAAUAUAGACCAUUUUCAA